rnacentral:rRNA from 1 species
GUGGGGAAUCUUAGACAAUGGGGGCAACCCUGAUCUAGCCAUGCCGCGUGAGUGAUGAAGGCCUUAGGGUCGUAAAGCUCUUUCGCUGGGGAAGAUAAUGACGGUACCCAGUAAAGAAACCCCGGCUAACUCCGUGCCAGCAGCCGCGGUAAUACGGAGGGGGUUAGCGUUGUUCGGAAUUACUGGGCGUAAAGCGCGCGUAGGCGGAUUGGAAAGUUGGGGGUGAAAUCCCGGGGCUCAACCCUGGAAUGGCCUUCAAAACUCCAAGUCUUGAGGUCGAGAGAGGUGAGUGGAACUCCGAGUGUAGAGGUGAAAUUCGUAGAUAUUCGGAAGAACACCAGUGGCGAAGGCGACACACUGGCUCAUUACUGACGCUGAGGCGCGAAAGCGUGGGGAGCAAACAGGAUUAGAUACCCCAGUAGUCC